CAGUAGCCACGGGAAUACGGAGGAUCCAAGCGUUAUCCGGAAUCAUUGGGUUUAAAGGGUCCGUAGGCGGUCUUGUAAGUCAGUGGUGAAAGCCCAUCGCUCAACGGUGGAACGGCCAUUGAUACUGCAGGACUUGAAUUAUUGGGAAGUAACUAGAAUAUGUAGUGUAGCGGUGAAAUGCUUAGAGAUUACAUGGAAUACCAAUUGCGAAGGCAGGUUACUACCAAUUGAUUGACGCUGAUGGACGAAAGCGUGGGUAGCGAACAGGAUUAGAUACCCCAGUAGUCCCUGUCUCUUAUAA
rnacentral:rRNA from 1 species